rnacentral:rRNA from 1 species
CUGGGCGGCGUGCCUAACACAUGCAAGUCGAACGAUGAAGAGCAGCUUGCUGCUCGGAUUAGUGGCGCACGGGUGAGUAAUGCAUAGAUAAUGUGCCCCUUAGUUCGGGAUAGCCACUGGAAACGGUGAUUAAUACCGGAUACUCCUUCUUGCCUCAAGGUAAGUCGGGAAAGUUUUUCGCUAAGGGAUCAGUCUAUGUCCUAUCAGCUAGUUGGUGAGGUAAUGGCUCACCAAGGCUAUGACAGGUAUCUGGUUUGAGAGGAUGAUCAGACACACUGGAACUGAGACACGGUCCAGACUCCUACGGGAGGCAGCAGUGAGGAAUAUUGCACAAUGGAGGAAACUCUGAUGCAGCAACGCCGCGUGGAGGAUGACGCAUUUCGGUGUGUAAACUCCUUUUAUUAGGGAAGAUAAUGACGGUACCUAAUGAAUAAGCACCGGCUAACUCCGUGCCAGCAGCCGCGGUAAUACGGAGGGUGCAAGCGUUACUCGGAAUCACUGGGCGUAAAGGGUGCGUAGGCUGGCUUUUAAGUCAGGUGUGAAAUCCAAUGGCUCAACCAUUGAACUGCACUUGAAACUGAAAGCCUAGAGUUCAGAAGGGGCAGAUGGAAUUAGUGGUGUAGGGGUAAAAUCCGUAGAUAUCACUAGGAAUAUCAAAAGCGAGGCGAUCUGCUGGGAUGAUACUGAUGCUGAGGCACGAAA